rnacentral:rRNA from 1 species
AUGAACGCUAGCUACAGGCUUAACACAUGCAAGUCGAGGGGCAGCAUGAACUUAGCUUGCUAAGUUUGAUGGCGACCGGCGCACGGGUGAGUAACACGUAUCCAACCUGCCGAUGACUCGGGGAUAGCCUUUCGAAAGAAAGAUUAAUACCCGAUGGCAUAGUUCUUCCGCAUGGUAGAACUAUUAAAGAAUUUCGGUCAUCGAUGGGGAUGCGUUCCAUUAGGUUGUUGGCGGGGUAACGGCCCACCAAGCCUUCGAUGGAUAGGGGUUCUGAGAGGAAGGUCCCCCACAUUGGAACUGAGACACGGUCCAAACUCCUACGGGAGGCAGCAGUGAGGAAUAUUGGUCAAUGGACGAGAGUCUGAACCAGCCAAGUAGCGUGAAGGAUGACUGCCCUAUGGGUUGUAAACUUCUUUUAUACGGGAAUAAAGUGAGGCACGUGUGCCUUUUUGUAUGUACCGUAUGAAUAAGGAUCGGCUAACUCCGUGCCAGCAGCCGCGGUAAUACGGAGGAUCCGAGCGUUAUCCGGAUUUAUUGGGUUUAAAGGGAGCGUAGGCGGACGCUUAAGUCAGUUGUGAAAGUUUGCGGCUCAACCGUAAAAUUGCAGUUGAUACUGGGUGUCUUGAGUACAGUAGAGGCAGGCGGAAUUCGUGGUGUAGCGGUGAAAUGCUUAGAUAUCACGAAGAACUCCGAUUGCGAAGGCAGCUUGCUGGACUGUAACUGACGCUGAUGCUCGAAAGUGUGGGUAUCAAACAGGAUUAGAUACCCUGGUAGUCCACACAGUAAACGAUGAAUACUCGCUGUUUGCGAUAUACAGUAAGCGGCCAAGCGAAAGCGUUAAGUAUUCCACCUGGGGAGUACGCCGGCAACGGUGAAACUCAAAGGAAUUGACGGGGGCCCGCACAAGCAGUGGAGUAUGUGGUUUAAUUCGACGCAACGCGAAGAACCUUACCAAGGCUUGACAUAUACAGGAAUAUAUAAGAGAUUAUAUAGCUCUUCGGAGUCUGUAUACAGGUGGUGCAUGGUUGUCGUCAGCUCGUGUCGUGAGAUGUUGGGUUAAGUCCCGCAACGAGCGCAACCCUUAUCCUUUGUUGCCAGCGGUCCGGCCGGGAACUCAAAGGAGACUGCCAGUGAUAAACUGGAGGAAGGUGGGGAUGACGUCAAAUCAGCACGGCCCUUACGUCCGGGGCUACACACGUGUUACAAUGGGGGGUACAGAAGGCAGCUACACGGCGACGUGAUGCUAAUCCCGAAAGCCUCUCUCAGUUCGGAUUGGAGUCUGCAACCCGACUCCAUGAAGCUGGAUUCGCUAGUAAUCGCGCAUCAGCCACGGCGCGGUGAAUACGUUCCCGGGCCUUGUACACACCGCCCGUCAAGCCAUGAAAGCCGGGGGUACCUGAAGUGCGUAACCGCAAGGAGCGCCCUAGGGUAAAACUGGUGAUUGGGGCU